UAGUGGCGAACGGGUGAGUAACACGUGGGCAAUCUGCCCUGCACUCUGGGACAAGCCCUGGAAACGGGGUCUAAUACCGGAUACGAGUUUCACAGGCAUCUGUGAUUCUGGAAAGCUCCGGCGGUGCAGGAUGAGCCCGCGGCCUAUCAGCUUGUUGGUGAGGUAACGGCUCACCAAGGCGACGACGGGUAGCCGGCCUGAGAGGGCGACCGGCCACACUGGGACUGAGACACGGCCCAGACUCCUACGGGAGGCAGCAGUGGGGAAUAUUGCACAAUGGGCGAAAGCCUGAUGCAGCGACGCCGCGUGAGGGAUGACGGCCUUCGGGUUGUAAACCUCUUUCAGCAGGGAAGAAGCGAGAGUGACGGUACCUGCAGAAGAAGCGCCGGCUAACUACGUGCCAGCAGCCGCGGUAAUACGUAGGGCGCAAGCGGUUGUCCGGAAUUAUUGGGCGUAAAGAGCUCGUAGGCGGCUUGUCGCGUCCGGUUGGUGAAAGCCCCGGGGCUUUAACCCCGGGUCNUGCAGUCGAUACGGGCCAGGCCUAGAGUUUCGGUUAGGGGAGAAUCGGNAAUUCCUU
rnacentral:rRNA from 1 species